GGGGAUGUAGCUCAAAUGGUAGAGCGCUCGCUUAGCAUGCGAGAGGUACAGGGAUCUAUACCCUGCUUCUCCA
rfam:Phytophthora infestans T30-4 supercont1.42 genomic scaffold, whole genome shotgun sequence.